UACGUAGGCGGAAAAUUAAGUCAGUAGUGAAAUCCCGCAGCUUAACUGUGGAACUGUUAUUGAUACUGGUUUUCUUGAAUUUAGUUGAGGUAGGCGGAAUGUGUAAUGUAGCGGUGAAAUGCUUAGAUAUUACACAGAACACCGAUUGCGAAGGCAGCUUACUAAGCUAUGAUUGACGCUGAGGUACGAAAGCGUGGGGAGCGAACAGGAUUAGAUACCAUGGUAGUCC
rnacentral:rRNA from 1 species